rnacentral:rRNA from 1 species
CUAGGCAAGCAAAAUAUCCAUAAGGCACUAGAUCCCAUCUGAUCUUGGAAGCAGGGUCAUCUCUGGUUAGUACUUGGAUGGGAAACUGCCAAUGAAAAUACAGUAGAUUCUUGCUUAUC